rnacentral:misc_RNA from 1 species
AUUGAAAGAAAGAUAAGCACCAUUCCAAAGGCAUAAGACAACCUUCCCCUCCAAAUGACAUAAGAAGAAAUAGAACAGAAAACCAAAGAUUUCACAGGAUCAUCCCAAUAUGCCAAGGAAAGAAGCCCCUUUCCAACUUCAAUGACAGGGUGAAGCAGCUCCUUCAUUACUGCCAAAUUGGUGUCAAUGCCAUCUACUUUAACUCCAUCAACUGUUUCUUGUGCUAGCACCACCUUUUUAUAGCUGUUUCUAGAUUCCUUAACAGCUCUUUCCAAUGAACUCAUCUCUCCCACAGCUAUCUCACCCACAGCAAG